CCCCCCCCCCUCUCCCCCUCUGUCAAAUAGAGGGGGGGGCAUCAGGGGGGCAUUUUUGUGCACGCCUGUUCCAUCUUCUCCAACCCCUUUCUCAUAACAAUCCCCUGUGAAUGCAUUUGCAUAGUGGAGGAAGGGGAAAUGGGAGGCAUUGUCCUCCCUUCCCUGACCUGCCCUGUGCUCCCUUUUCAUCAUGUAACUCCCUUUGCAUGUAAUCUGGAAUGUUUGGUGCAUUAUUUAAAACAUACACAACUUUCAACAACGGAUCUCUUGGCUCUCGCAUCGAUGAAGAACGCAGCGAAAUGCGAUAAGUAAUGUGAAUUGCAGAAUUCAGUGAAUCAUCGAAUCUUUGAACGCACCUUGCGCCCCUUGGCCAUUCCUUGGGGCACACCUGUUUGAGUGUCAUGAAAUUCUCAACUCUGUUCCCUUCUUGAAUGAAAGAGAGGGGGGGAUGUGAGCUUUGGACUUUGGAGGGCCCCUUUUUGCUGGCAAUGUUGUUGCUGGCUCCUCUGAAAUGCAUCAGCGAGAGAGAGGGCAUGCAAUGGUGUGCGCAUCCCAUGCAUGUGUGUGUGGUGUGCAUUGCGUGUGCUGAGCUUUCCCCAUCAUCUCAUCUCUCGGUGUGAUAAAGCUUUGUCUUACGCCGUUCGAGUGGGUUGAUGGUCAUGUAGUGCUCGCUUACAGUUGUGCGAGUCCCCAUACACCCUGGGGCAAGCCUUUUUCUUUUGAACCCUUUGACCUCAAAUCAGGUGGGACUACCCGCUGAACUUAAGCAUAUCAA
rnacentral:rRNA from 1 species